rnacentral:rRNA from 1 species
GUAUCAUACGUGAAACCGCGGAAAGCUCAUUAUAACAGCUAUAGACUACACGGUAAAUAUUUUAGUUGGAUAACUGAGGUAAUUCUUGAGCUAAUACACGCUUCAUAAGCCACAUUCGUGGUGCGUUUAUUUGAUUAAACCAAAUAAUGGUUGACUCAAAAUAUCCUCGCUGAUUUUUAACAAAACAUACCGUAUGUGUAUCUGCUUUAUCAACUUUCGAUGGUAGGGUAUUGGCCUACCAUGGUGUUGACGGAUAACGGGGAAUUAGGGUUCGACUCCGGAGAGGGAGCCUGAGAAACGGCUACCACAUCCAAGGAAGGCAGCAGGCGCGAAAAUUACCCAAUUUUAGUUUAAAGAGGUAGUGACGAAAAAUGACAACCAAGUAUUAUUAUUAAUAUUUGGAUUGAAAAUCUUCAAGUCUAAAUAACUUGUUGGUAAAGGAAAGGGCAAGUCUGGUGCCAGCAGCCGCGGUAAUACCAGCUUUCCAAGUGCAUAAAAUGAUUGUUGUGGUUAAAAAGCUCGUAGUUGGAUUUUAAGAUUUGUGUAAUGAACAUCUUGGAUGUACUCAUUACCUAUCUAUUAUGUUAAUUUAGAAAUAAAUUAACACUGUUACUUUGAAUAAAUCAGAGGGUUCAAACCAAACAAUUUAUGUUUGAAUAUUUCAGCAUGGAAUAACACUAUAGGAAAAGUUAGUGUGGUUUCACUAUCUUUUUCAUGGUUAAUAGGAACAAACGGGGGCAUUCGUAUCGCUACGUUAGAGGUGAAAUUCUUGGACCGUAGCGAGACGUCCUACUGCGAAAGCAUUUGCCAAGAAUGUUUUCAUUAAUCAAGAACGAAAGUUAGAGGUUCGAAGGCGAUCAGAUACCGCCCUAGUUCUAACCGUAAACGAUGCCUACUAGGUGUAUGAAUUAUUAGUUAUAAUAAUUUAUGCACCUUCUCGGAAACGAAAGUCUUUCGGUUCCGGGGGAAGUAUGGUUGCAAAGCUGAAACUUAAAGGAAUUGACGGAAGGGCACCACCAGGAGUGGAGCCUGCGGCUUAAUUUGACUCAACACGGGAAAACUCACCCGGGCCGGACACCGUAAGGAUUGACAGAUUGAUAGCUCUUUCAUGAUUUGGUGGUUGGUGGUGCAUGGCCGUUCUUAGUUCGUGGAU